CUUGAGGCUAUUUUCCUAUUUACCUUUUUGACACAAAUUCCAUUACAGGAAACUUCCGUUUUUCUCGGACUUUUCCCAUAUCAAUUUAGAGUUUCUCGGACUUUUUCCCUGUCCGUAUCUAUUUUGUAAACAGAAAUGUCUACUGAAAUUUUUUCGAGAUUGACAUUUUCAAAAAGCGGAAGAUUUCAAAUUUUAACGGGAGGGACGGAAGAGGG
rnacentral:lncRNA from 1 species